rnacentral:rRNA from 1 species
UACGUAGGGUGCGAGCGUUGUCCGGAAUCACUGGGCGUAAAGCGCGCGUAGGCGGACCUGCAAGUCGGGGGUGAAAGCCCGAGGCUCAACCUCGGAACUGCCUUCGAUACUGCGGGUCUCGAGUCCGGGAGAGGUGAGUGGAAUUCCUAGUGUAGAGGUGAAAUUCGUAGAUAUUAGGAAGAACACCAGUGGCGAAGGCGGCUCACUGGACCGGAACUGACGCUGAGGCGCGAAAGCGUGGGGAGCAAACAGG